rnacentral:rRNA from 1 species
AGAGUUUGAUCCUGGCUCAGAACGAACGCUGGCGGCAUGCCUAACACAUGCAAGUCGAACGAGACCUUCGGGUCUAGUGGCGCACGGGUGCGUAACGCGUGGGGAUCUGCCCUUUGCUUCGGAAUAACAGUUAGAAAUGACUGCUAAUACCGGAUGAUGACUUCGGUCCAAAGAUUUAUCGGCAAAGGAUGAACCCGCGUAGGAUUAGCUAGUUGGUGGGGUAAAGGCCUACCAAGGCGACGAUCCUUAGCUGGUCUGAGAGGAUGAUCAGCCACACUGGGACUGAGACACGGCCCAGACUCCUACGGGAGGCAGCAGUGGGAAUAUUGGACAAUGGGCGAAAGCCUGAUCCAGCAAUGCCGCGUGAGUGAUGAAGGCCUUAGGGUUGUAAAGCUCUUUUACCCGGGAUGAUAAUGACAGUACCGGGAGAAUAAGCUCCGGCUAACUCCGUG